CGAGGAAUCUUGGGCAAUGGGCGCAAGCCUGACCCAGCGACGCCGCGUGGGGGAUGAAGGCUCUUGGGUCGUAAACCCCUUUUCUCCGUGACGAAGGGCGGGUGUUGAGCCCGUCUUGACGGUAGCGGAGGAAUCAGCCACGGCUAACUACGUGCCAGCAGCCGCGGUAAUACGUAGGUGGCGAGCGUUGUCCGGAUUUAUUGGGCGUAAAGCGCGCGCAGGUGGUUGCCUACGUCCGGUGUGAAAUCUCCCGGCUCACCUGGGAGGGGGCGCUGGAGACUGGGCGACUGGAGACAGGGAGAGGCCGGUGGAAUUCCCGGUGUAGUGGUGAAAUGCGUAGAGAUCGGGAGGAACACCAGUGGCGAAAGCGGCCGGCUGGACCUGUUCUGACGCUGAGGCGCGAAAGCGUGGGGAGCGAACCGGAUUAGAUACCCGCGUAGUCC
rnacentral:rRNA from 1 species